rnacentral:lncRNA from 1 species
UUUUAUACGAAGAUAUUCCCUUUUCCACCAAUGGCCUCAAAGUGCUUGAAAUCUCCCCUUGCAAAUUCCACAGACAAGUGUUUCAAAUCUGCACUGUCUAAAGGAAGGUUCAACCCUGUGAGUUGAAUACACACACACAGAAAAAAAUUCACUGAGAAUUCUAUUGUCUAUCAUUACACGAAGAAAUCCCGUUUACCACGAAUGCCUCAAAGAGGUCCAAAUAUCCAGUUGCAGACAAUACAAACUGAGUGUUUCCAAAGUGCUCUAUGAAAAGAAGUGGUAAACACUGUGAGUUGAACGCACACAUCACAAAGUAGUUUCUGAGAAUGAUACUGUCUAGUUUUUAUACGAAGAUAUUUCCUUUUGUACCAUUGGCCUCAAAUCGCUAGAAUUCUCCACUUGCAAAUUCCACAAAAAGAGUGUUUCCAAUCUGCUCUGUCUAAAGGAAGGUUCAACUCUGUGAGUUGAAUACACACACACACAAAGAAGCUACUGAGAAUUCUUUUGUCAAGAAUUAUAAGAAGAA